rnacentral:misc_RNA from 1 species
UACGUAGGUGUCAAGCGUUGUCCGGAAUUAUUGGGCGUGAAGGGCUCGUAGGCGGUUUGUUGCGUCUGCUGUGAAAGCCCGGGGCGUAACCACGGGUCUGCAGUGGAUACGGGCAGGCUAGAGUCCGGCAGGGGAGACUGGAAUUCCUGGUGUAGCGGUGGAAUGCGCAGAUAUCAGAAGGAACACCGGUGGCGAAGGCGGGUCUCUGGGCCGGUACUGACGCUGAGGAGCGAAAGCGUGGGGCGCGAACAGG